UCCAUAAUAAUUAUCAGUGCAAUUUCUGGCAUGGCCCGAACAUUUUUGUUUAAAUUUUUGAAAACUUUUAUUUCCCACUUUAAAUUUAAUUGAAGUUUGAAUUAGGAGUUUGAAAGAAAUGUGUUUCAAAUUUGAUCAAGCCCUGUUUAGCAACAUGAUUAGCUUAAUCACAGAGAGUUACUGUAGCAUGAUUCUCGGGGUGUUACAAAUAACUUUUGUGAUAGCACAAUAUAAUCAUAUUUACUCCAUUUAAAUGAGCAGGAAACAUAAAUAAUAGACAUUUGGAAAGUACCCCAUAUAAAAAAGUAUUAACUGUUAAUUAAGGUUGCAUCCAAAACAUAAUAUUAAAAAUGAUUAACAUGCAAGAUAUAUUGCAUACUUGGAAUCUACAUAUUUUCUGUGGCAUUUUCAUAUAUAAUAAAUUAUAUUUGAAAUUAGGGUUUAAAAGAUAUGAAUGUUUCAAAAAGCAUUUUGAAUCUGCCUGAAAAAUAAAUAAAUAAAGCCUUAAAACGGAGUAGCGCUGGGCCUAAAAAGGAAGCCCAGGGUCGGAGUUAUAUCCUACACCCAUAAAAAAUCGGAAUUACGGUUUAAGAGAUACAGAUAAUUUAGAAAAUCAUUUGUCUGACUUAAUAUCUUCCAAAAUAAUAUUUAAAAAUACUUAACAGGUAAAAAAUAAUCUCAUAUUCAUAUUCUACAUAUUUUUCUAAUCAAAUUUCAUAUAUAACAAAUAGAGGAACUUUUCUGAAAAAUUCCAUGACGGACGACCAGAAGCACUAUUUGGUUUAUUAUUAGGGGAAGAUAUCUAUGCAAACAUGUCCGUGCGUUGCAACGGGAGAAAAAAAUCACCCCUCAAACACACUCGACGACAUCUGACGGGAAUCAACAUCUCAUAUAGUGCCAAUAAUAACUUUUGUGAUAGCACAAUAUAAUCAUAUUUACUCCAUUUAAAUGAGCAGGAAACAUAUAUAAUAGACAUUUGGAAAGUACCCCAUAUAAAAGAGUAUUAACUGUUAAUUAAGGUUGCAUCCAAAACAUAAUAUUAAAAAUGAUUAACAUGCAAUAUAUAUUGCAUACAUGGAAUCUACAUAUUUUCUGUGGCAUAUUCAUAUAUAAUAAAUUAUAUUUGAAAUUAGGGUUUAAAAGAUAUGAAUGUUUCAAAAAGCAUUUUGAAUCUGCCUGAAAAAACAAAAAUAAAACAUUAAAACGGAGUAGCGCUGGGCCUAAAAGGGAAGCCCAGGGGCGGAGUUAUAUCCUACACCCAUAAAAAAAUCAGAAUUACGGUUUAAAAGAUACAGAUAAUUUAGAAAAUCAUUUGUCUGACUUAAUAUCUCCAAAAUAAUAUUUAAAAAUACUUAACAGGUAAAAAAUAAUCUCAUAUUCAUAUUGUACAUAUUUUUCUAAUUAAAUUUCAUAUAUAACAAAUAGAGGAACUUUUCGGAAAAAUGCCAUGACGGACGACCAAAAGCACUAUUUGGUUUAUUAUUAGGGGAAGAUAUCUAUGCAAACAUGUCCGUUCGUUGCAACGGAAGAAAAAAAAAUCACCCCUCAAACACACUCGACGACAUCUGACGGGAAUCAACAUCUCAUAUAGUGCCAAUAAUAACUUUUGUGAUAGCACAAUAUAAUCAUAUUUACUCCAUUUAAAUGAGCAGGAAACAUAUAUAAUAUACAUUUGGAAAGUACCCCAUAUAAAAAAGUAUUAACUGUUAAUUAAGGUUGCAUCCAAAACAUAAUAUUAAAAAUGAUUAACAUGCAAGAUAUAUUGCAUACUUGGAAUCUACAUAUUUUCUGUUGCAUUUUCAUAUAUAAUAAAUUAUAUUUGAAAUUAGGGUUUAAAAGAUAUGAAUGUUUCAAAAAGCAUUUUGAAUCUGCCUAAAAAACAAAAACAAAACAUUAAAACGGAGUGGCGCUGGGCCUAAAAAGGAAGCCCAGGGUCGGAGUUAUAUCCUACACCCAUAAAAAAUCGGAAUUACGGUUUAAAAGAUACAGAUAAUUUAGAAAAUCAUUUGUCUGACUUAAUAUCUUCCAAAAUAAUAUUUAAAAAUACUAAAUAGGUAAAAAAUAAUCUCAUAUUCAUAUUCUACAUAUUUUUCUAAUCAAAUUUCAUAUAUAACAAAUAGAGGAACUUUUCUGAAAAAUGCCAUGACGGACGACCAGAAGCACUAUUUGGUUUAUUAUUAGGGGAAG
rnacentral:lncRNA from 1 species